ACGCACUGCUUUAUGGACCUUAUCAAAGAAAAUGUCAGAAUUGAUAUUUAAAGGAAGAGCUUGUUUUAAGGCUAAACAUGGCCAAACCAUUAUGACAGUUGUUAAAACUGAGUUUGUCGUAGAACAAGUUUUAACCCGCCAGUGUGGACAUGGUAUUAGAAAGUUUACUAAGAUACAUCCACGAAGAAAUGGUUGCAAACGCGUUUUUAUGCAGUUAUGUAUGCAUGGUGCAAAUGCAAUUCAGUUGGCUUUACACCAUUCAUUGCACAAGUCACAGGGAACGAGGUCUUCGUAUCUUGCUUAAAGUUCAACGAACUAUGCCAAAAGCUGAACCAUGGAUAAACCAGUACAUUUUUUAAAGAAAAUAAGCGUGAUUUGUUUCAUCAUCAACUAUUCUCUAGUGGAAUGCAUUGAACCUUCCACUACAUCAGAAAAUGAAAAGUAUCAGCUUACUGUAGGAUAUGAUGAUACAAGAGUUAUUAGUCGAAAGGAUUGCAAAACAGUCAUUGCAGUUGACGAACCAAAUGAGCUUAAUAGUAUUAAAAAAAACAAAAAAAUUGGCAUAAAACACACUCACCAAGUGAUCAAGUAUAAUGCUGAACCAUUAUUAAACAAUUCCCACAAACAGGAACAAAUCACACCACAAGAGUUGAACUAUACUACCAAAGUAUCAUUAAAUCUUUUCCACAUAUUCAUGAACUUAUACGAUCAUCAAUCUUGGAAUUUAACUCCUUUAAAAAACAAAAUAAGCUAUGAUUGUGCUGCAGAUAUGCAAAUAUACCUACAACAUCUUAAUUUACAAACUAAUUGGGCAUUAAAAGUUUUUGAUUCUUCAGGACAUUAUGGUGGGCAGUCAUUAUUUGGUAAUGAUUUUUGGCUUGGAUCAAAAUCAUUUUGUGAGGAGAUAAACGAAAAAAAUUCUGAAUCAAAAACAGAGCCGUUUGUUCACAUGAGUUUUUUUGUAGCGAUUAUCAGAGCAAAGAUAUUGCAGCUGACACCUGAGGUAAAAUUUUGUUUUAUUUCAAGCAAAAAAUGUGAAUUGGUCAAAGAUAAAGUGGAACAAAAAGUACAUCCUGCUUAUGUUAUAGUUGAUGUUAUUAAAGCAAGGGGGAGGAAACUCUCAUAACAUUGAAAUUAUUUUUGUAAAAUAGUGAACCUUUAUAAAGGGUAAUUUUCCAACAACUUACAAUGCAGUUUCCCGACCCGUCUUCGAUUUGCGUGAAACCUUGUCCUAAGAAGUAAUUUUGGUCCCUUAUUGCGAAUCCGAGGUCCAUUGUCCGAUGAAGGGGGAAGGCCCCCCCGCAUUUUUUACUAAAGGGGUUACAUGCAUGUAGAAAAUCGCAAAAUAUCAUAUUUCAGAAAACUUAGUAAAUCCACCAAAAAGAUGAUUUUUAAUCACUCCUGAAAGUUUCAUGAAGAUACAUCUUGAUUAAACAGAGUAAAAGACGAAAUUUUGCUAUGCGCAAAGCGGACUGUCAAACUUUGUGAGCGCUUUUCUCUAAACACUGAGUUGAUUUACGGGUGCCACGAUAUCUCGAGAUGGGAUGAACCAAAUUGGCUGAAAUUUAAGCAUAAGCAUAGGCAUAGAUGCCCACCCGCAGUUGCUACUCCUUUAUUGACCAGGACCUCCAGAAGUUACAUCCACGAGCCGUGGAAGAUGAAUGGGUGCUAUCUUUCCUCGCUUCGCAACUUCUCAAAGGCCCCUAUCAUGCUGAUCAAUACCGGCGCCGGCCACGACCAGUGGUAGGGUCACGGGGAAGUGGAUGGGAAUGUUAGUCCGAUACUUGAGUGAUAGAGACCGCCCAAUCGACUGCUUCUCCGACAAAGUAUCACAUGAGUUUUGAGGGGGUUAGUAGAUGGGUAUGUGGUCAGGAUUCACGAGUGGCAGUGAUGUGACCAUGAGCAUUUUGUUUAUCGGUUGAAAUUUUUUAAAUCUUAGGCAGCCGGCUGCGGAAAGAUACAAAUAAAAAAAAUCAAAUUGUUCGCUCUACAGCAUUGCCUUGGCGUUCUCGAUUACGAGAUUCCUACUCGAAACUAGGUGUCCGAAGGCUUGAUUGUUGAGGCAAUUGCAAACCUCUUUUUACACCUUAGCUUCCAUCCACCCCGGGAUUCGAACUGACGACCUUUGGAUUGUUAGUCCAACUGCCUACCAGCGACUCCACCGAGGCAGGACCCAGGGAGACGACUCCUACACCUGGACUGAGCUAACGACCUAACCUUUUUUCGGUUAGGCCGGGGCCAAUAUUUACUUCCCUUCCGACGGAAGGCGUGAUCAGACAAAUCUCGUCUCGAAAAAUGCCACCGGGACCGUCUGGGAUCGAACCCAGGCCGACUGGGUGAGAGGCAAUCACGCUUACCCCUACACCACGGUCCCGGCAGAUACGGAAAGAUACAUUAUUGAUUAUUUAGAAAGUUUUUUUUUAAUCGAACGCGUGCCAACCGAGCAGUAGUGCUAUGGGCUGGACUUAUCAGUAUAUUUUUACUAAUUGUACAAUUUAGAUAACGCGUCCAAAUUUCAAAAAUAGUAAAUAAAAAAACGCUUACUCUUCAUAAAAUCGAUAGUUUGAUGAGUUAAUACUAGAACUGCCAUAAGUACAAACAACACACCAAACCAAGCCUACUCCGGUGGAAUCGCUGGCGGCGGUUGGAGUCGCAAUCCAAAGGUCGUCAGUUCAAACACUGGGGUGGAAGGUUCCUUGGAGUAAAAAGAGGUUUGGGUGCUCUCCCCAUUCAAGCCUUCGGACUCCUAGGUUCGAGCAGAAACUUGCAAUAGAGACCACAAAAGACCCGGGGGUCGUUAAUGUGGAUGGUUUGAUUUUUGUGUGCCUCUGCGGUGCACACACACACUGAUGAAACCUCUCGAACAUUCGGGACUCUUUCUCUUUCCGCAAUCGUCCCAAUUCACCCCAAAAACGCGCCCGAAACGAAGCAAACCCAAAAAAGAACUUUUCAAUCGCGCGAUUCUUUUUCAACUGACGACGAUUCUUUUUUCGCUCCACUUUGUGUGCCUCUGCGGCGCACACACACACUGAUAAAACCUCUCGAACAUUCGGACUCUUCCUCUUUCCGCAAUCGUCCCAAUUCACCCCAAAAACGCGAGAUGGGAUGAACCAAAUUGGCUGAAAUUUGAGGUGAAAACUCUCAAGGCAUAUACCGUGUGCAUGACGAAGCUCGAUUUUUAUAUUUAGUUUUUUUUAAUGACAGAAAUCAAAAACUGACGAUUUUUUAUGUGAAAAGUAUAAUAAUCUGUUUUUUUUUUUCGAAAAUUGGCCUUCGUCAAGCGAACGGGACCGGUUCAACAAGUCUUCACCAAAACUUUUAGCCAGUUUAGCCAAAGCAGUGUUGAGAUAUCGUGGCACUCGUUUUUUGAAACUGCUUACUUCAAAUAGCUAUAUCUCGGCAGUGAUACAACCAAAUGUUUCCAAAAUUGUUAUGUUAAUAGAUGAAAAUGUAUAUUUUAAUGCCUUGAAAACAGAUUUAAAAAAAAAGUUUAUGUUAAUGCUCAUGUCUACUUCUGACAUUUUUGCCGAUUUACAGUAGUGUUUUUCAUUUAGUAGACUGGAAUAGUCAAAGAGUAUUUUAAGUUAAAUUUGAUGGCGUACUGAAAAAGCUGAGCAAACGUAUUUUUUCAAAUUAUUCUGAGUUAUUGAAUCCAGACAAGGGGCACCGAUAGUUAGAGAAACACAUGUCUUAAGGAAAAAAAGAAAGUAAUUAUCAAUGUUGUUGGAUUUCUUUCAAAAAAAUAAUACGUUUUCCUUGUCUUUGAAAAAAUUACUAAGCCUGGUAAGGCAGUAACUAUUAAAAAAAAUGCUGUUAAUCGUUGAAUCAACGUCAUCGAUGUCGUUGAUUUAAACGUAAUCGUAAUCGCAGCCAUCGUUGAUUUAAUCGUCAACGUCAACGGAGUCAUUGAUUUAAACGGCGUUGAUCAACGCGUUGAUUAUCGAUAAUCAACGCGUUGAUCAACGGCGUUCUUUUAUAGUUUUCUAGAGAUUUAUGAGGAAAGAACGAUUUUUUCAUAAAUGUAUUAAUUGGGAAACAUUCUUAAAUAGAUUUGACAUGGUUGUUCGGGGAUCCGGGUGUACCAAGAGGACCGAAGUGACCGGAUUUUAAACGUGAUUUAAGCCCUAGCUAAUUGCUGGUCACUUCCAUCUCCACUUUGGUUCCCUAGUCCUUCCAGGAUUUUUCUUAUAUAAAUGCAACCGAGGAUGGACAAUUGGGAACCGAGAUAUGGUCGGAUUAACACCGGAAUUAUUGUUCCGGGCGGUUCAGUGAGAGUCUCGCGUGACUAAAUAACGACAGAAUUUGUUUUUCUGUGAUGCAAUACUGAAUUGACCACAUGACUAGGUGUUGGCCACUCCACCCUAACUCCUCCUUAGUACUUUGUAAACAAGUACCCCUCGCCAAAGCAGUGUGGUGAAUUACUAAUGUCACCACACUGAUACACGAGUGUCUUGCGAACCUUCGUGGUGAACGGACACUAGAGCUGCGGUAUUUUUACUACCUAAGCUCAGAGUUAUUUCAAACAAAAUUCACAGUCCUGAGUUAUUUUCCAAAAUUCUAAACAGUCUUUUCAAGACUAACCCCACCUGAAAACCUGACGAGUUGCUGUAGUUUACCCAGCACCCAGGUAGCAUAAACUUUAUACGCGCAGCUGGUUAGGGAGAUCUUACGGUAAUGAUCGGUAGUUUUAGGAUUCUUCACUUUGGGAAUGGGGACCACCACAACGUGUUUCCAGUCGGCCGGCAUGCAAUUCUCGAUUCAAACUUUUGUCAGCAGUUGAUGUAGUUCGCCAAGGGCCUGUUCACCACCGUACUUGAGAUAUUCUGAGUAAAGAUUGUCUGCACCGGGUGUUUUCCCAUUCUUCAUUUGGUCCAGAAUAGAUCAAACCUCUUGUAACCGUUGUACUAAAUUGGUUUAUUUGAUUCAUAAAACAUAACAAAUUUAGCGCUUUGCGCAAACUCUAUUUAUAUAACAUAUUCAUUUAUUAUUAUUAUCUUAUUAAUUGAAUUUAAAAUACGAUUUCGAAGAUAGCCCCUUUGUAAAGACACUCACUGCUUCACAGUGAGUGACGGAGUGCAAGCACUCGCGUUUACCCCUGAUGAUUAGGCAACCCCCAUAACGUGAGUUCGCUGCGCGCGCUUUGACGAGCGGUUGCUCAAACCGACACGUGAUUGGAACUCAGUUACGAUCUUAAGAGGCCGCACGUGCAGAUUCUGAACCAAGGGUUUGACUCGUUUAUCUUCGUGAGAAUUGGAAAAGGAGAGCGUGUAGGCCGUGUACCUUCAGCAUACCGAGUGGGAGCGGGACACACUAUUAGAGAGCGAUAUUUCCCGAAUAGGCUAAACCCAACGCAACGUUUACGUGCAUCCGGUGGGGUCGUACGUAACUUCGGCGAUCAGUUUCCCAGGCUCGAGUCUGAGAAAUUUUAGUAACUCGAUCACAUUCUCCUAACCCGUGGAACGAUUCGGAAGUGCAGUGAAUUUGCUGGAGUUGUAACGUAGGUAAUCUGCGCGAGGUUCGAUCUCGGGUGUUAAUCUAAAGUUAACUUUUCAGAAGCUAGGCCGAUAGAAAAGUAGUGCGACAGAUAGCUAGCUUUUGUGACCUUUGUGCGAGAACCUGCGAAGAAAGGUAAUGUAGUCAGUGUGCGAAAUAGUGCGUGCUCUAAAACGAUCGUUUCGACGGUCCGUGUUCCCUUUAGGCAGCGUGGUCACAAGUUUACUUGUCUCCGGCGGCUUCCCUCGUCCGCGGACGGAAUUGCUGGCCAAGCUACAACCCUGUGGCCAGCCGCCGCGCCGUCAACAUCGUGGCAGAAAACCCCCGGUCGAACCGCAACCUCUUGACCGAGCCACUCCAGUCACCUGUGGCCUUUUUGACGCAAACGCCUGGCCGCACCGCAACCUAGUGGCCGCGGCGAUCUUCGUCGACUCGUGAGGAUUCUUCACGAAUCACCGUUCGAAACUGCCUGGCCCCCAACAACCACGUGGCCCGCAGCGAACGCCUCGAACACGCCGUGACGCUGUCACGGACCGCCGGUCGGCAGACCUGAAGACCGACCACGUGGCAAAUCGAUCGGUUCCAGACGCCUGGUAGGUGAGUCGAUCAUCCGCCACUCAACCAUUGUGAUCGCACAACAGCAGCAGUAGCAGAACUCGCAGAGCAGCAGUCUACGGCGCCGGCAAGGGCGAAGUAGAGGAGAAAGAACGCGCACAAUGAAUGAGUAUUGAUGUUGGGAGCUUUCGUUGAGCACGUUGGUUUUAGGUCAAUUCGGGCAUUAUGGGCUCGGAUA